GUUGAAGCGUCGGUUUCCGUAAGAUCACUGAAGUUAAGCAAUAUCGAGCCAUGUCGGUACCUAGAUGGGUGACCGUUUAGGAAUACCAAGCGCUGUAGG